rfam:Clostridium magnum DSM 2767 CLMAG_contig000001, whole genome shotgun sequence.
UUUGUUAAGAAGAAACAGCCGUUUCUCACCUUGCAGCACAGCUAGUAAGGUUUGAGCAAUUCUUUAUUAAGUAUUGUGUAUUUUCAGGACGGCAUUUGCCGUCCUUUUUUAGUGUA